GGGUUGUGAGGUUAAGUGACUAAGCGUACACGGUGGAUGCCUAGGCAGUCAGAGGCGAUGAAGGGCGUGCUAAUCUGCGAAAAGCGUCGGUAAGGUGAUAUGAACCGUUAUAACCGGCGAUACCCGAAUGGGGAAACCCAGUGUGUUUCGACACACUAUCAUGUCAUGAAUACAUAGUGGCAUGAGGCGAACCGGGGGAACUGAAACAUCUAAGUACCCGAGGAAAAGAAAUCAACCGAGAUUCCCCCAGUAGCGGCGAGCGAACGGGGAGGAGCCCAGAACCUGAAUCGGCUUGUGUGUUAGUGGAAGCGUCUGGAAAGUCGCGCAGCAAAGGGUGAUAGCCCCGUACACUAAAAUGCACAGGUCGUGAGUUCGAUGAGUAGGGCGGGACACGUGACAUCCUGUCUGAAUAUGGGGGGACCAUCCUCCAAGGCUAAAUACUCCUGACUGACCGAUAGUGAACCAGUACCGUGAGGGAAAGGCGAAAAGAACCCCGGCGAGGGGAGUGAAAUAGAACCUGAAACCGUGUACGUACAAGCAGUGGGAGCACCUUCGUGGUGUGACUGCGUACCUUUUGUAUAAUGGGUCAGCGACUUAUAUUUUGUAGCAAGGUUAACCGUAUAGGGGAGCCGUAGGGAAACCGAGUCUUAACUGGGCGACUAGUUGCAAGGUAUAGACCCGAAACCCGGUGAUCUAGCCAUGGCAGGUUGAAGGUUGGGUAACACUAACUGGAGGACCGAACCGACUAAUGUUGAAAAAUUAGCGGAUGACUUGUGGCUGGGGGUGAAAGGCCAAUCAAACCGGGAGAUAGCUGGUUCUCCCCGAAAGCUAUUUAGGUAGCGCCUCGUGAACUCAUCUUCGGGGGUAGAGCACUGUUUCGGCUAGGGGGCCAUCCCGGCUUACCAAACCGAUGCAAACUCCGAAUACCGAAGAAUGUUAUCACGGGAGACACACGGCGGGUGCUAACGUCCGUCGUGAAGAGGGAAACAACCCAGACCGCCAGCUAAGGUCCCAAAGUCAUGGUUAAGUGGGAAACGAUGUGGGAAGGCAUAGACAGCCAGGAUGUUGGCUUAGAAGCAGCCAUCAUUUAAAGAAAGCGUAAUAGCUCACUGGUCGAGUCGGCCUGCGCGGAAGAUGUAACGGGGCUAAACCAUGCACCGAAGCUGCGGCAGCGACGCUUAGCGUUGUUGGGUAGGGGAGCGUUCUGUAAGCCGUUGAAGGUGGCCUGUGAGGGUUGCUGGAGGUAUCAGAAGUGCGAAUGCUGACAUAAGUAACGAUAAAGCGGGUGAAAAGCCCGCUCGCCGGAAGACCAAGGGUUCCUGUCCAACGUUAAUCGGGGCAGGGUGAGUCGACCCUAAGGCGAGGCUGAAAAGCGUAGUCGAUGGGAAACAGGUUAAUAUUCCUGUACUUGGUGUUACUGCGAAGGGGGGACGGAGAAGGCUAGGCUAGCCGGGCGACGGUUGUCCCGGUUUAAGCGUGUAGGGGGUGUGACCUGGUAAAUCCGGUUGCAUGUUAACCCUGAGGCGUGAUGACGAUGCACUACGUGCAGAAGUAGUUGAUGCCCUGCUUCCAGGAAAUCCUCUAAGCUCCAGGUAACAUUAAAUCGUACCCCAAACCGACACAGGUGGUCAGGUAGAGAAUACCAAGGCGCUUGAGAGAACUCGGGUGAAGGAACUAGGCAAAAUGGUGCCGUAACUUCGGGAGAAGGCACGCUGGCAUGUAGGUGAAGUCCCUUGCGGAUGAGCUGAAGCCAGUCGAAGAUACCAGCUGCUGCAACGGUUUAAUAAAAACACAGCACUGUGCAAACACGAAAGUGGACGUAUACGGUGUGACGCCUGCC
rnacentral:rRNA from 1 species